CGUAAGAGUUUGAUCCUGGCUCUCAGGACGAACGCUGGAGGCGGGCCUAAAGCAUGCGAUCCGGACUCUCAGUCUGUCCGCGGAGGGUGUUCCUCACACAUACAAGGAGAGCGAAGAAGCUUCGUACCAGAAGUGUAUCAGCGCCGUCCGAAGGAGUAACCCGUGGGUAACAGGCGUUAAAGUGGUGGAUCACUUUCAAAAGCAAGGUUUAGUUCCGCAAGGCAUUAGAGAGUCGCAUGAUUAUGUUAUCAAAGAGCUAUUGCUUUGAGAUGGGGUAACGGCUCAUCAAGUCAUUGGUAAGGAGACGGCUUGACAAGGCGAUGAUCCACACCGGCCUGAGAGGCUGAUCAAACUCAUUGGGGAGGCAGCAGUUCCAGUUCCUACGGGAGGCACCAGUUUGAAUAUUGAACAACGGGGGAAAGCCGAAGGCAUUAACAUCGCGUGGGUGAUGAAGGUGUUCGGAUUGUAAAGCCGAGUAGUAUGUUCAGACAAUGACGGUAUCUGACCAGGAAGCCACGGCUAACUACGUGCCAGCAGCCGCGGUAAUACGUAGGUGGCAAGCGUUGUCCGGAUUUAUUGGGCGUAAAGGGUGCGCAGGCGGAUUUUUAAGUGGGAUGUGAAAUCCCCGGGCUUAACCUGGGGGGGUCUUCCAAACUGGGUAUCUUGAGUGCAGGAGAGGAAAGCGGAAUUCCUAGUGUAGCGGUGAAAUGCGUAGAGAUUAGGAGUCGAUCUUCACCCCCCCUAGGAAACCAGAUGGCGAGGCGGCUUUCUGGACUGUAACUGACGCUGAGGCACGAAAGCGUGGGUAGCAAACAGGAUUAGAUACCCUGGUAGUCCACGCCGUAAACGAUGGAUACUAGGUGUAGGGGGUAUCAACUCCCCCUGUGCCGCAGUUAACACAAUAAGUAUCCCGCCUGGGGAGUACGGUCGCAAGAUUAAAACUCAAAGGAAUUGACGGGGGCCCGCACAAGCAGCGGAGCAUGUGGUUUAAUUCGAAGCAACGCGAAGAACCUUACCUGGACUUGACAUCCCUUGCAUAGCCUAGAGAUAGGUGAAGCCCUUCGGGGCAAGGAGACAGGUGGUGCAUGGUUGUCGUCAGCUCGUGUCGUGAGAUGUUAGGUUAAGUCCUGCAACGAGCGCAACCCUUGUUAUUAGUUGCUACCAUUAAGUUGAGCACUCUAAUGAGACUGCCUGGGUAACCAGGAGGAAGGUGGGGAUGACGUCAAAUCAUCAUGCCCCUUAUGUCCAGGGCUACACACGUGCUACAAUGGUAGGUACAAUAAGACGCAAGACCGUGAGGUGGAGCAAAACUUAUAAAACCUAUCUCAGUUCGGAUUGUAGGCUGCAACUCGCCUACAUGAAGCUGGAGUUGCUAGUAAUCGCGAAUCAGAAUGUCGCGGUGAAUACGUUCCCGGGCCUUGUACACACCGCCCGUCACACCAUGAGAGCUGGUAACACCCGAAGUCCGUGAGGUAACCGUAAGGAGCCAGCGGCCGAAGGUGGGAUUAGUGAUUGGGGUGAAGUCGUAACAGUAA
rnacentral:rRNA from 1 species